rnacentral:lncRNA from 1 species
GGUAUUAAAAGAGAAUAGUCUCCACCUAAUGAUUAAAGUGCAUUAGGACACUAAGAAGAGUUUGAUUUUAAAAUCAGAGAUUGGGAUAAGGGCUUGAAAUUAUCACGAGGGGAAGGUGUUAGGCACCCCUCAAGAUCCACUAGUGUGGUUCCCGGCCAUACUAUUAUUGUGACUUUAAGUGCAAAUAAUAAGAAGACAAGUAAUAAUUUCAAAUGUGAGAGGG